CCUACGGGUGGCAGCAGUGAGGAAUAUUGGUCAAUGGACGCGAGCCUGACCCAGCAACGUCGCGUGAAGGAUGACUGCCCUACGGGUUGUAAACUUCUUUUAUAAAGGAAUAAAAUGAGGCACGUGUGCCUUUUUGUAUGUACUUUAUGUAUAAAGAUCGGCUAACUCCGUGCCAGCAGCCGCGGUAAUACGGAGGAUCCGUGCGUUAUCCGGAUUUAUUGGGUUUAAAGGGAGCGUAGAUGGGUUGUUAAGUCAGUUGUGAAAGUUUGCGGCUCAACCGUACAAGUGCAAUUGAUACUGGCAGCCUUGAGUACAGUUGAGGUAGGCGGAAUUCGAGGUGUAGCGGUGAAAUGCUUAGAUAUCACGAAGAACUCCGAUUGCGAAGGCAGCCUACUAAACUGCAACUGACAUUGAUGCUCGAAAGUGUGGGUAUCAAACAGGAUUAGAUACCCCUGUAGUC
rnacentral:rRNA from 1 species